CCUAAACCAAUUUCACACAAAAAAAAACGGUUACGACUAAUUCAAUAUAUUUAAACGGCAAGAUGAGUAGGCACUAUUAAAUGUCUGGAUGAGACAACAGACACAGAAGUUGAUCAUAUACAGAUUCAUUACGCAAAAUCAAUUCCAAAACCUAAGUGUCACAACUAAUCUAAGAUGCCCAAUGAUCUUCCCAUAGAGAAAAUAAACAAAUAUUUAUAUCUUCAUGGCAUUUUACCAUCAGUUAACUACAUGAACUAUCCACUCACAAGACUAAUUAGAAACCUAUCUAGUACAGCUUAGACAUAGACAACAAAACAAGAGGAGAGAGAGAGAUACACAAACCUGGUUAGCAACAGCCUUGGACAUCCUGGGGAAUUCCUUCUUGAGGAUAGACUUGUUGACAGAGACCUUAGGCUUGUUCUGCUUCUUGGUCUUGGUGGUGGC